rnacentral:lncRNA from 7 species
GCUGAGCGAAGAGCGCCCCAUAGGGCUGCUGCGUGCCCCCAUAGGGCAGCGCGAAGAGCGCCCCAAUAGGGCUGAGAGAAUGGCGCCCCCAUAGCGCUGCAGUGCCCCCAUAGGGCUGAGCGAACAGCGCCCCCUAUAGGACUAAGCGGCACCAUAGCGCUGCAGCGCCCCCUAUAGGGCUGAGCGAACAGCGCCCCCUAUAGAAAACCUAUAGAAGCCCCCUAUAGGGCUGAACGACCCAAAGCACUGCAGCGCCCCCUAUAGGGCUGAGCGACCCCAUAGGGCGGAACGCCCCCAUAGCGCCGCAAUGCCCCCAUAGGGCUGAACGGUCCCAUAGCGCCGCAGUGCCCCAUAGCGUGCAGCGCCCCCUGUAGGGCUGAGUGAAGAGUGCACCCAUAGCGCCGCAGCGCCCCCUAUAGGGCUGAGCGCCCCAUAGCGCUGCAGUGCCCCUAUAGGGCUGAACGCCCCAUAGGGCUGAACGGCCCCAUAGCGCUGCAGCGCCCCCUGUAGGGCUGAGUGAAGAGUGCACCCAUAGCGCCGCAGCGCCCCCAUAGGGCUGAGCAAAUGGCGCCCCCUAUAGGGCUGAGUGAAGAGUGCACCCUAUAGGGCUGAACGCCGCCAUAGCGCUGCAGCGCCCCCUAUAGGGCUGAGUGAACAGCGCCCCAUAGCGCCGCAGCGCCCCCCAUAGGGCUGAGUGAAGAGCGCCCCCUAUAGGGCUGAGUGAAGAGUGCACCCAUAGCGCUGCAGCGCCCCCUAUAGGGCUGAACGGCCCCAUAGCGCUGCAGUGCCCCCAUAGGGCAGCGCGAAGAGCGCCCCCUAUAGGGCUGAGAGCGCCCCAUAGGGCAGAGCGAAUAGCGCCCCCUAUAGGGCUGAGCGCCCCCAUAGCGCCGCAGCGCCCCCUAUAGGGCUGAGUGAACAGCGCCCCCAUAGCGCCGCAGCGCCCCCAAUAGCGCUGAGCGAACGGCGCCCCCUGGCGGUGCUUUCAGGUACUGCUGGCGGUGUUCGUGGAGCAGCCGACGCCGUUCCUCGAUGUGUUCCUACGGCGGUUACUGCGGUUGGAGCCGCCGGGGGGGGAACUGCGCCUCUUCGUCCACAACCGCGUCAGUGCGGCCCCACAGCGGCCCCAUAA